CCCUACAGAUAAUGCUAGAAGAAAUUAAGCUAAUGAGACCCAAAAAGUAAGUCCCUAAAACUCUGGACCCAAUUUCCUCAACAUUCUCAGAACAAACAAACAAAUAAAAACUGGCAAUGACAAAAUGUGCUUCUCUGGAUGGUUCUCAUCUAUAAACCCCUGCAGGAAGCUGAAGAGUCCUGAAAAAAAGGGAAACCAGAUUAGUUCUGCUGCUAUUGCUACUGCUCCUACCAUAAAAUAUAGCAGAGAAUUGGAAACAGGAUACCAUCUGUCAACACAUUCUUCUGAUGUCACAAGUAGGCACUUUUACACUCCGGAAAAGGAGGCCAUACCAGUGGAAUGUAGCCAGGUGUCUUAUUUCCAGUAGUUACCUCCAUCACUCUGGAACUAUGAGUCUCAUGACUGAGUCAAAGAGGCCUGAGUCUUGCAGCCAGAAGCCACUGCUAUCAAUCCACAUCCUAAAAGAAUGCCUUCCCUCAGAAGCCCUUCCUGCAAGCUCCAGGACAUGACGAAUUAAGGAUAUACUGGUGCUUCUUUUCCAGCUGCUCAGUAAAGGUCUCUGAAGCCCCACACCAAAUGGGCCUCUUGCCCUCUGACCCUGGACCAACUGUGAGAAGCUCAACAUUCAAGAACACAAAAAGAAGACAACACUGGUGUGGAGUGCCAGCCCGGUGAGCUGCCAACUACCACCUGGACAAUAGACAGAGAUGGAAAAGAACCCUCUUUCCCUUUCUGAAAAUCUCAGCUGUGUGGAAGACACUAACCAGUUCCGUGAUUUCUGCUUGUUCACAAAGAAAUGUGUCUGUCUGGGAGAAGAUUACAGAGGCCAAGUGGAUGAAGGCCAUUCCCAUUUGUCUUAAAGGCAGCUUCCUUUCCAGCUGCAGGAAAAUUAUGCCCAUAGAAGGACAUAAUUUGGAAUUAAGUUCUGGAAUGUUUUCCACUUGCUCUGCUUCUUUCAGAGUCUUGUCAUUCAAAAUGUGGCCCCAGGACCAGCUGUAUUAACAUCAUCUGGGAACUUGCUGGUAAUGUAUGAUCUCAGGCCCCACCCAUCUCUGCUGAAUCAGAAUCCACAUUUUCAUAAAAUCUCCAGGUGAUUCACAUGCACAUUUAAAUGUAAGAAAACUCGUCUACAGCAUAACUUCAGGCCACAGUGUUUUGUAGUGGGUGUGGUCUCUGUGAACUCUAGGGUGCUCUGUCUAAUCCCCGAAAAUCAGGGUCACAGUGAGAUUAAUCAGGUCCUGCGUGCUUCAGGUGUUUAACAGAAAGCCAUUUAUUUGGCAAUGUUAGAACAUUUCUUCAAGAUAUUGGGAGUUAACCACAAAGCCCCAACAGGUGGAAAUCUGAACCCCAGACUAAAGUCUUUAUUAGGCCCUCAAAAGAUCCCUCAACAUUAGUCAGGCUGUGUUAUCUGUGCUCAUCUGGGGUAGUAUAUAGACCAGGUAAAAACAAAACGAAGGGUUUCUCAUAGGCUCUGAAGAACCACUGCAGUCCAGGUGAGGUUUUCUUAGUAACUGCAUCAGACAAGUCUGGGA